rnacentral:rRNA from 1 species
UACGUAGGGGGCGAGCGUUAUCCGGAUUCAUUGGGCGUAAAGCGCGCGUAGGCGGCCGCCUAAGCGGAACCUCUAACCCCAGGGCUCAACCUCGGGCCGGGUUCCGGACUGGGCGGCUCGAGUGCGGUAGAGGAGAGCGGAAUUCCCGGUGUAGCGGUGGAAUGCGCAGAUAUCGGGAAGAACACCGAUGGCGAAGGCAGCUCUCUGGGCCGUCACUGACGCUGAGGCGCGAAAGCUGGGGGAGCGAACAGG